UGGGGAAUAUUGCACAAUGGGCGAAAGCCUGAUGCAGCGACGCCGCGUGAGGGAUGACGGCCUUCGGGUUGUAAACCUCUUUCAGCAGGGAAGAAGCGAAAGUGACGGUACCUGCAGAAGAAGCGCCGGCUAACUACGUGCCAGCAGCCGCGGUAAUACGUAGGGCGCAAGCGUUGUCCGGAAUUAUUGGGCGUAAAGAGCUCGUAGGCGGUUAGUCGCGUCUGCUGUGAAAACUCGAGGCUCAACCUCGGGCUUGCAGUGGGUACGGGCUGACUAGAGUGCGGUAGGGGUGACUGGAAUUCCUGGUGUAGCGGUGGAAUGCGCAGAUAUCAGGAGGAACACCGAUGGCGAAGGCAGGUCACUGGGCUGCAACCGACGCUGAGGAGCGAAAGCAUGGGGAGCGAACAGGAUUAGAUACCCUGGUAGUCCAUGCCGUAAACGUUGGGCACUAGGUGUGGGGGUCCAUUCCAACGGAUUGCCGUGCCGCAGCAAACGCAUUAAGUGCCCCGCCU
rnacentral:rRNA from 1 species